AUGAUGGAAUUGGGACUACGUGAGGAGGAUCUGGACGAUGUAGUCUUUGAUGAGAAGGAGGCGCCGCUGGAGGCGCCGAGAUGGGUUGCGCUGAUCAAGGUAAACACCAAGAAAACCUACAGUUAGACAUGGUUCUUUAGGAACAUGAGGUCCGCUUGGGAUGUGGCACAGGAAGCAAAAUUCAAACCAUUGGAGGAGAAUCUGUACUCCGUCCAGUUUACUUGCUUGGGGGAUUGGGAGCGUGUCAUGCAAGAGGGGCCCUGGAAUUUUAGAGGUGAUGCGGUGCUCCUUGCACCAUAUGAUGGAAUAACAAAACCCUUUACAAUCAAACUGGAGACAAUUGAUAUAUGGAUUCAGAUCCAUGACGUCCUAGACUUAUAUGCUCAUCUCAUCCAGACCCUAGCUGCCAAGGUUGGUGAAGUCCUGUUUGCUGAGACCCAAUCCCAUGAUUUCACUGGAAAUUUUCACCGGGUGUGA
rnacentral:rRNA from 1 species